rnacentral:tRNA from 1 species
GCGGAUUUAGCUCAGUUGGGAGCGCGCCAGACUGAAGAAAAAACUUCGGUCAAGUUAUCUGGAGGUCCUGUGUUCGAUCCCACAGAAUUCGCACCA